rnacentral:rRNA from 1 species
CCUACGGGAUGCAGCAGUGGGGAAUAUUGGACAAUGGGCGAAAGCCUGAUCCAGCCAUGCCGCGUGUGUGAAGAAGGCCUUCGGGUUGUAAAGCACUUUCAGUGGGGAAGAAAGCCUUGGGUCUAAUACCCUCGAGGAAGGACAUCACCCACAGAAGAAGCACCUGCUAACUCCGUGCCAGCAGCCGCGGUAAUACGGAGGGUGCGAGCGUUAAUCGGAAUUACUGGGCGUAAAGCGCGCGUAGGCGGUCUGAUAAGCCGGUUGUGAAAGCCCCGGGCUCAACCUGGGAACGGCAUCCGGAACUGUCAGGCUAGAGUGCAGGAGAGGAAGGUAGAAUUCCCGGUGUAGCGGUGAAAUGCGUAGAGAUCGGGAGGAAUACCAGUGGCGAAGGCGGACUUCUGGACUGACACUGACGCUGAGGUGCGAAAGCGUGGGUAGCAAACAGGAUUAGAUACCCGUGUAGUC